ensembl:lncRNA
GGGAGUCUCGUGAGUGAAAACAUCCGAAGAUCAAAGGGCUUCUUCAAUGUCCUCUACAAAGUUUUUGGUGCCUUGAAGUUAGUAUGAAGGUAACUGAAUCCGGCUGCUAAAGGAGCCCCAAAUAAAAUUGGGUUUGCUGGAUGGCCGGGAUUUCUCCCUAAGAAUUAGCCCUCCGACUCCCCGACCCUGUAACUCUGUGGUUGAUUUCCCUUACUUUAAUAGGAGAACAGAACCUUUUGAUAGAAGCUAUAAUCUAAUGUUUAAAUGAAAAUGUAAUGAUAAUUAUCACAGCUUGAGUGAUUGAGUGAUAUUUUUUUUUAAAUGUUUGUGCUUUUCUAAUAACCAAUUUCUG